GACCGGAUUUGACAGCGGGUCGGAGUUUUGUGUAAGCACGCAGUGCGCCGUGGGUGGGCACUUUAAUCUCGGCCCUCAAAGAAUUUAACUGGCGAAAACAAAUUUGCUCUCGCUGCCUAAUCGAAGCACAGUAGAUUGGCUUUAUCCCUGCACAAGGUGCGGGGACGAGACAUCGCCCAAGAGCCGUUUUUUCCGAGGCUCCUUGAACCGGCGGUGCAGAAAAAUCGGGAAUAGUUUUCGAAUGCCUCGAUUCGAAGGCGAAAAGUUUAGAGGAUAAGGCGCGAGUUGGUGGCAUCGGUCUUGCUCACGCACGAAAAACUAAACGAUGAUAAGCGUGUAGAAAGCACGGGAUUUCCCCGUUUGGACGAGGGUUCAACUCCCUCCUGGUCCAC
rnacentral:tmRNA from 1 species